GACGAACGCAGGCGGCGUGCCUAAUACAUGCAAGUAGAACGCUGAAGCUUGGUGCUUGCACCGAGCGGAUGAGUUGCGAACGGGUGAGUAACGCGUAGGUAACCUGCCUGGUAGCGGGGGAUAACUAUUGGAAACGAUAGCUAAUACCGCAUAAGAGUAGAUGUUGCAUGACAUUUGCUUAAAAGGUGCAAUUGCAUCACUACCAGAUGGACCUGCGUUGUAUUAGCUAGUUGGUGAGGUAACGGCUCACCAAGGCGACGAUACAUAGCCGACCUGAGAGGGUGAUCGGCCACACUGGGACUGAGACACGGCCCAGACUCCUACGGGAGGCAGCAGUAGGGAAUCUUCGGCAAUGGACGGAAGUCUGACCGAGCAACGCCGCGUGAGUGAAGAAGGUUUUCGGAUCGUAAAGCUCUGUUGUAAGAGAAGAACGAGUGUGAGAGUGGAAAGUUUCAACAACUGUGACGGAUCUACC
rnacentral:rRNA from 1 species